UGGGGAAUAUUGCUCAAUGGGCGCAAGCCUGAUGCAGCCAUGCCGCGUGUAUGAAGAAGGCCUUCGGGUUGUAAAGUACUUUCAGCGGGGAGGAAGGGAGUAAAGUUAAUACCUUUGCUCAUUGACGUUACCCGCAGAAGAAGCACCGGCUAACUCCGUGCCAGCAGCCGCGGUAAUACGGAGGGUGCAAGCGUUAAUCGGAAUUACUGGGCGUAAAGCGCACGCAGGCGGUUUGUUAAGUCAGAUGUGAAAUCCCCGGGUUCAACCUGGGAACUGCAUCUGAUACUGGCAAGCUUGAGUCUCGUAGAGGGGGGUAGAAUUCCAGGUGUAGCGGUGAAAUGCGUAGAGAUCUGGAGGAAUACCGGUGGCGAAGGCGGCCCCCUGGACGAAGACUGACGCUCAGGUGCGAAGGCGUGGGGAGCAAACAGG
rnacentral:rRNA from 1 species